rnacentral:rRNA from 1 species
GAAGAAAGCGGGGGGCGUGCUUAACACAUGCAAGUCGAACGGAAAGGCCCUGCUUUUGUGGGGUGCUCGAGUGGCGAACGGGUGAGUAACACGUGAGUAACCUGCCCUUGACUUUGGGAUAACUUCAGGAAACUGGGGCUAAUACCGGAUAGGAGCUCCUGCUGCAUGGUGGGGGUUGGAAAGUUUCGGCGGUUGGGGAUGGACUCGCGGCUUAUCAGCUUGUUGGUGGGGUAGUGGCUUACCAAGGCUUUGACGGGUAGCCGGCCUGAGAGGGUGACCGGCCACAUUGGGACUGAGGUACGGCCCAGACUCCUACGGGAGGCAGCAGUGGGGAAUAUUGCACAAUGGGCGGAGGCCUGAUGCAGCAACGCCGCGUGCGGGAUGACGGCCUUCGGGUUGUAAACCGCUUUCGGCUGUGACGAAGCGUGAGUGACGGUAAUGGGUAAAGAAGCACCGGCUAACUACGUG